rnacentral:rRNA from 1 species
GCUUAGCCUAAACACAGAUAAUUACAUAAACAAAUUAUUGCCAGAGUACUACC